rnacentral:sRNA from 1 species
GGUUUGCGUGAGGGAUGGCAGUGGAGCUCUUUUUUGAGGCAAUUUUUGCUUCGCCUGUUCACUACCGUUCGGGUCUUUGCCUCAAAAAAAGCGGGAACGUACAGCCCGACCCUUG